UAGAGAUACACUUUCUUCUUCGGAAGCGCCGGUGACAGGUGGUGCAUGGUUGUCGUCAGCUCGUGUCGUGAGAUGUUGGGUUAAGUCCCGCAACGAGCGCAACCCUUAUUGUUAGUUGCUACGCAAGAGCACUCUAGCGAGACUGCCGUUGACAAAACGGAGGAAGGUGGGGACGACGUCAAAUCAUCAUGCCCCUUAUGUCCUGGGCCACACACGUACUACAAUGGUGGUUAACAGAGGGAGGCAAAACCGCGAGGUGGAGCAAAUCCCUAAAAGCCAUCCCAGUUCGGAUCGCAGGCUGCAACCCGCCUGCGUGAAGUUGGAAUCGCUAGUAAUCGCGGAUCAGCAUGCCGCGGUGAAUACGUUCCCGGGCCUUGUACACACCGCCCGUCACACCAUGAGAGUCGGGAACACCCGAAGUCCGUAGCCUAACCGCAAGGGGGGCGCGGCCGAAGGUGGGUUCGAUAAUUGGGGUGAAGUCGUAACAAGGUAGCCGUAUCGGAAGGUG
rnacentral:rRNA from 1 species